GCCUUCGGCAAGACCAGGUAGCGGGCGCGUGCACGUAAAGGGGCCUCGGGCGCGCGCACGUCCAUCACCAGCUGCUUCCCGGCGCCCCUCCUCGCCCUCUAAUUUAGAUCGGUGGCGGCAGGGAGACAUGAGACAUCGAUCAACAUAUCUAAGAUGAACGAUGGAUUGGUCCGGAAAGAUGGAGUCUCACCCUGUCGCCCAGGCUGGAGAGCAGUGGCGUGAUCUCGGCUCACUGCAACCUGCGCCUCCCAGGUCCAAGCAAUUCUUCUGCCUCAGUCUCCCAAGUAGCUGGGAUUACAG